rnacentral:lncRNA from 1 species
CUGGGAGAGGUCGCAGCAUGUGAUGCGCCUUCCAGGCGUAGCCACCGACCAUGAUCUCUAACCCGCCACUGUACGUAGCAUUUCCAUUGAGCGAGUUCUCCGCUUGCUUGAGGGUCACUAUGUUCGGAGUCUCGCCACGCUUCAUGUGCCAAUUCUGGUGAUCGUCGGUCCCCACGUUUUCCUCGACGAACUCAGUACA